CGAUCCUUGUGAUGAAACCAGCGAAGCAGAGUCGCGUCGAUGCAUUCACUCACGCCUGCGGCGUUGCCGUGACAAUUCAAAUUAGAGCCGUUUUGCAAAGUUCUUCGACUGAUUGCGGCGGCAAAGCGGUCUGCUGUAUGUGGGUUAAAGCGACCUCCACCAGGCCUUGUCAGAGGGCACAUCCUGCCACUCACUUCUCAGGACAGGAAGCGUAUUUGAAGAUGCAGGCGAGGCAGGAAAUGGCGACCAUGAACUCCGUGAAGUCAACUUCUCCAUCUCCAUUAAAAUCCAUUAGAAGCUUUUCCCCGUCUGGGUUUCCCUGAGCUGCCUGUACACACCAAGAACACAAAGUCGAAAAAAAAAUAUGUCAUAUAUACAGUGUAUGUACAAUAAUAAAAAAUACUGUUCAAUUACUGAAAAACCUGAGUAACAUCCGAUUUAUCAGAGCAUGAACUACUACAUGUCAUGUUGAACAUUUCUAAUUGCUGUAACACUCAUGCUAAUUUCUACGAGCCUGUUUUUGUUGCUUUGCAGUAAAUUUUACCAUUAAGCUCAUGGACGUUUCUUCAGUUCAAUUCAUAUUUGUCUAUCCAUUUUGCAGUGAAGUGCAUGUCACCUUCCAAAGAUUGGGCAGCUCUUUCGCCAGCAGGGUCUUGACCUCAUUCUUGCUCAGGGUGGCCUUCUUCCCAUCGGUGCCGGCGUGUUUGUCAAAGACUUG